GGGGAUUUAGCUCAGUGUUGCAGCACCUGCCUUGCAAGCAUGAGGUCCUGAGUUCAAUUCCCAGUACCCCCC
rfam:Cavia porcellus supercont2_24 genomic scaffold, whole genome shotgun sequence.